rnacentral:rRNA from 1 species
CCAGACUCCUACGGGAGGCAGCAGUGGGGAAUAUUGCACAAUGGGCGAAAGCCUGAUGCAGCAACGCCGCGUGAAGGAAGAAGGCCUUCGGGUCGUAAACUUCUGUCCUUGGGGAAGAAGAACUGACGGUACCCAAGGAGGAAGCCCCGGCUAACUACGUGCCAGCAGCCGCGGUAAUACGUAGGAUGCGAGCGUUAUCCGGAUUUAUUGGGUUUAAAGGGUGCGCAGGCGGAAUGUCAAGUCAGCGGUAAAAUUUCGGGGCUCAACCCCGUCGUGCCGUUGAAACUGGCGUUCUUGAGUGAGCGAGAAGUAUGCGGAAUGCGUGGUGUAGCGGUGAAAUGCAUAGAUAUCACGCAGAACUCCGAUUGCGAAGGCAGCAUACCGGCGCUCAACUGACGCUCAUGCACGAAAGUGUGGGUAUCGAACAGGAUUAGAUACCCCUGUAU